rnacentral:rRNA from 1 species
UAUGUCCCGCUGAGCACCCUUGAUUUUAAUUGCCAGCAUUCAGUUGGGCAUUUAAGGUGACUGCCGGUGACAAACCGGAGGAAGGUGGGGAUGACGUCAAAUCAUCAUGCCCCUUAUGACCUGGGCUACACACGUGCUACAAUGGACAGAACAAAGGGCAGCGAAACCGCGAGGUUAAGCCAAUCCCACAAAUCUGUUCUCAGUUCGGAUCGCAGUCUGCAACUCGACUGCGUGAAGCUGGAAUCGCUAGUAAUCGCGGAUCAGCAUGCCGCGGUGAAUACGUUCCCGGGCCUUGUACACACCGCCCGUCACACCACGAGAGUUUGUAACACCCGAAGUCGGUGAGGUAACCUUUUAGGAGCCAGCCGCCGAAGGUGGACAGAUAUUGGGGU